AACGUAGGAGGCAAGCGUUAUCCGGAGUUACUGGGCGUAAAGCGCGUGUAGGUGGAUUGGUAAGUUACUUAUAAAAGCUCCUGGCUAAACUAGGAGAGGUUGGGUGAUACUGCCAGUCUUGAAUAGAGGAGAGGUUGACGGAAUUCCGCGUGUAGUGGUGAAAUGCGUAGAGAUGCGGAAGAACACCAGUGGCGAAGGCGGUCAACUGGCCUCAUAUUGACACUCAGACGCGAAGGCAUGGGUAGCGAACGGG
rnacentral:rRNA from 1 species